rnacentral:rRNA from 1 species
CCUACGGGUUAUAAACUUCUUUUGUCUGGGAGCAUUUGCGUAAACGUGUGGUCUUAGCGCGAGUUCCUGAAGAAAAAGCUUCGGCUAACUCCGUGCCAGCAGCCGCGGUAAUACGGAGGAUGCGAGCGUUAUCCGGAUUUAUUGGGGUUAACGGGUGCGUAGGCGGAAUAUCAAGUCAGCGGUAAAAAUGCGGGGCUCAACCCCGUCGUGCCGUUGAAACUGAUGUUCUUGAGUGGGCGAGAAGUAUGCGGAAUGCGUGGUGUAGCAGUGAAAUGCAUAGAUAUCACGCAGAACUUCGAUUGCGAAGGCAGCAUACCGGCGCCCAACUGACGCUGAAGCGCGAAAGCGUGGGUAUCGAACAGGAUUAGAUACCCCUGUAGUC